AGACUCCACGCUAUUGAAGGUUCCCCGAGAGGGGAUCAAAAGGGAAUCCGGUGCCAGGUUGUUGACCUGAAUGCCGGAGCUGCCCCCGCAACUGUGAUCGGCGAGCGUUUCGCCACACCAUGCCACUGGAUGCGUCCGGGAAGGCGGGUGAAACGCGAUGAACCGAGAGCCAGGAGACCUGCCUCAAUAUGUCCUUUUUG
rnacentral:ncRNA from 1 species